rnacentral:rRNA from 1 species
GGACCCGCACAAGUAGUGGAGCAUGUGGUUUAAUUCGAAGAUACGCGCAGAACCUUACCAACACUUGACAUGUUCGUCGCGACUCUAAGAGAUUAGAGUUUUCGGUUCGGCCGGACGAAACACAGGUGCUGCAUGGCUGUCGUCAGCUCGUGUCGUGAGAUGUUGGGUUAAGUCCCGCAACGAGCGCAACCCUCACUUUUAGUUGCCAUCAUUAAGUUGGGCACUCUGAAAGAACUGCCAGUGAUAAGCUGGAGGAAGGUGGGGAUGACGUCAAGUCCUCAUGGCCCUUACGUGUUGGGCUACACACGUGCUACAAUGGCUAGGACAGACGGCCGCAAACCCCGCGAGGGGGAG